rnacentral:rRNA from 1 species
AGAACUGACGGUACUUGAGGAAUAAGCCACGGCUAAUUCCGUGCCAGCAGCCGCGGUAAUACGGGAGUGGCAAGCGUUAUCCGGAAUUAUUGGGCGUAAAGCGUCCGCAGGCGGUCUUGAAAGUCUGUUGUUAAAGCGUGGAGCUCAACUCCAUUUCAGCAAUGGAAACUAGAAGACUAGAGUGUGGUAGGGGCAGAGGGAAUUCCCGGUGUAGCGGUGAAAUGCGUAGAUAUCGGGAAGAACACCAGUGGCGAAGGCGCUCUGCUGGGCCAUAACUGACGCUCAUGGACGAAAGCCAGGGGAGCGAAAGGGAUUAGAUACCCCUGUAGUCCUGGCCGUAAACGAUGAACACUAGGUGUCGGGGGAAUCGACCCCCUCGGUGUCGUAGCCAACGCGUUAAGUGUUCCGCCUGGGGAGUACGCACGCAAGUGUGAAACUCAAAGGAAUUGACGGGGGCCCGCACAAGCGGUGGAGUAUGUGGUUUAAUUCGAUGCAACGCGAAGAACCUUACCAGGGUUUGACAUCCUGCGAAUCUUUUGGAAACAGAAGAGUGCCUUCGGGAGCGCAGAGACAGGUGGUGCAUGGCUGUCGUCAGCUCGUGUCGUGAGAUGUUGGGUUAAGUCCCGCAACGAGCGCAACCCACGUCUUUAGUUGCCAGCAUUGAGUUGGGCACUCUAGAGAGACCGCCGGUGAUAAACCGGAGGAAGGUGUGGAUGACGUCAAGUCAUCAUGCCCCUUACAUCCUGGGCUACACACGUACUACAAUGCUACGGACAGAGGGCAGCAAACUCGCGAGAGCUAGCAAAUCCCAUAAACCGUGGCUCAGUUCAGAUCGUAGGCUGCAACUCGCCUACGUGAAGGAGGAAUCGCUAGUAAUCGCAGGUCAGCAUACUGCGGUGAAUACGUUCCCGGGCCUUGUACAC